rnacentral:rRNA from 1 species
AUGCGACCCCAGGUCAG